GGUUGCGAUCAUACCAGUACUAAUGCACCGGAUCCCAUCAGAACUCCGCAGUUAAGCGUGCUUGGGCGAGAGUAGUACUAGGAUGGGUGACCCCCUGGGAAGUCCUCGUGUUGCAACCCC
rnacentral:rRNA from 1 species